CUCUUUGAAUUUGGGAAAACUGUAACUACAUUCUUCCAGUUUGUAAUUUCUUCUUAUCUAUUUUGCAUCUAUUACUCUUUCGGUCUGAAAUGUUAGAUCCCUGAUAUCCUGCGAAAUUAAUUAUUUUUGCAAGUUGCCUCUACCAUUUUGACAUUUGGAGUUGAAGCUAAGAACCGCUCGGUGCCAUCCAUUAAUUGGAGCAUAAUUAGAGAUGACAAUAGGACAGAUUUGGAACAAAGUCAUUUUGGAGUUUUUCGAGUUUGGUGUGUGGGCUAGGAUUUGGGGCCAGCUCGGUAUUUUCUUCGUAAUUUUCAAACUUUUAUAAAAGAUGUAAGCAUUCUAACAUGUUCUUGUUAGAGUUCAAUUGAGCUCAGGUUUAAAUCAUUUUUUUUUAUCAAAUUUCAGUUCAUGGGUUGAGACUUGAGAUGUGGCCAUGGUCAAUACCAAAAAAUUAAGUCUGAACUCAACUCCCGAUGAUUUUUUUAGUUCAUAUAUUAUAAAAUAUUAUAUUUAUAUCAAUUCAGUAUAAUAGUUUAUAAUGAAGUUCAAAUAAAAAUAUAUUAUUGAAUGUUAAUUUAAGUCAAAAAAAGAAAAAUUAUCUUUGUCCAAGCUGGCCAAGUAAUUCGCUCAAACCAGUACACGAAAUUAAUCAAGCCCUAAAAGAACAGUACUUAAAAGAAGCAAACAACACAUAAAGACGGGUAGUUUCCUCCGUUCCUCCUUUAGUUCACCAAAGGUGCAAUACCAAAAACAAACAAAAAAAAAAGUCUGAACCGAUGAUUUUUUUUGUUCAUAUAUUAUAAAAUAUUAAAUAUUAUAUCUUACCAAUUCAAUAUAAUACUUCAUAAUAAAGUUCAAAUAAAAAAUUUAUUAUUGAAUUUAAAUUCAAGUCACAAAAGGAAAAUUAUCUUUGUCCAAGCUGGCCAAGUAAUUCGCUCAAACCAGUACACAUAAUUAAUCAAACCCUAAUAAAAGUACUUCAAAGAAGCAAACAACGCAUAAAGACAGGUAGUUUCCUCCGUUCCUCCUUUAGUCCACCAAAGGUGCAAAAUUUAGAUUUCAUCUCUAUCUCUUGAAUUAAUAUCCGACUACAUGUUUGCAGAGAUACAAGCAAAUACACAAAUAACAAGUAUCUCUCUUUCAGGCAUUAACUCCCUACUUUUUAACAUAAUCCCUACCCCCGUAAAUUAAAAAAAAAAAAAACCCCCCACGCCCGGUGCUGUCACCAUUAACAAGCAUAAAGUCUCGUAAAAAGUCACUUCCUUCAUAUUCACAAAACAGAGAUUAACCCUACCUUGCAAAUGAAAAUGGUUGUUUUAUGACAAUUGUUUCAUUUCAUCCUUCCCAUAUAUACGCUGAAGUUCAAGAGUGGCAGCUAAAAACGAAUCUGAAAAAAGAAAGAGGUGCAAAGUAGACAUGUCAAUUGUAUCCCAUCUCAAAAACUCCAUCCGAUCAACCUAAACCAAAACCAAACCCAAACCCGAUUUGACCAUAAAAAGUCAACAACAUGAACCCAUCCAACCACACCCAAAAAUGACUCAAACCCAAUCUGAAAUUGACUUAACAAAAAUGACCCUGACAUUUUAAAUUUUGAAUUGAUCCAAUCCAGAAAGAUUCGAUCCAAAAUCAACCCGACUUGCCGAAUAGACCUGACCUUUUUAGUUUACUCAAUAAAGUGCACUAGUAAAAGAAGCAUUUCCUUCUGAUUAAAUUUGUCAGUCAAGAUAGGUAGAAUUAAAAGGAAAAGCAAAUCAAGUUCAAUAGCUUACAUCACCUUUCCAAAUCCGGAAGCACUUCUGGUUAAUAGGCGAGCCGGUUAUUGUCUGAAUAACAUCGAACAACAUAUUCUGAGGUGUGCUUCUAAGCUCUUGGACAAUCCCAUAAAUGGUCUUCCCAUUCUCAAAGUAUAUGUGAUUAUUUGGAUGCUUUGUUUUGCAACCAGCAUGCCGCUCAAAUUCAUAUGCAUUGAUCACCUAUGAGAACGUAGAAACUCUGCUCAUCAGCACACACAUAAGUGCGUACACAAUUCUCUCAAAAAAGAAAAAAAAGGUAAAACCGAGAAACCACACCUUAGAAAAAUUGCAUGUCUGACAGCCACAUUGAUAUCCCGAACUCUUUAUAACACCGUGGAGCUCCUUCUGAAGUUCAUAUAAAGAAGCAGGCGUAUCACCGGACAAUAAGGUAAAUAAAAAGAACACAAGUAAUGAGAUUUUACCUCCUGUGACCAUGCAAUAUAUUUAACGGGAACUCCAUCAAGCAUACCAGUUGACAGCAAACUUCUAACAUUUGAUGGGAAGUUAUUUGAAGUAAGUUUUUUGGAUGUUUUCUGCUCAUCUUUCUUCCUAGGAACUUCAGCUCCAGAGGCAAUAAUAUUAUUGGAUAUAGACACUUUUUCACUAGAAGCAUUGGAUCUUUGGACAGAAGACUGACCCAUCAAUAAAUUAUAGCCUGAUACAAUCCUUCCUGGCGGAUUUGUAUCAUCAUCAUCAUUAGAGCCACCAAAUGAUAUAAUAGUACUCUCACCCCUACUAUAGGACUGACCAAUUGACAAAUUAUAGUUGUCACCCUUCUUGUAGCUUUGACUGAUAGAUAUGGUACUGUCAUCUCCUUUACCAUAGGUCUGACACACAGUUACAGAACUAUCAUCUGUCAUGUAUGUUUGACCCAUGGAUAUGAAAGUGUUUUCACCCUUAUUGAAGGUAUUGCUCAUUGCAAGUGCAUUAUUAUCCUCACUUUUGUUAUAGGAUUGUCCCAUAGACAUGAAAACAUUAUUCUCCCUUUCAUAGGUGUCACCAAUAGGAUCCCCUUUGUUAUAAGAAGAACCCAUCGGCAUAAUACCAUCUUCCACCUUGUUGUAUGCAUGAUCAUUUGACACAGAGGUAUUAUCAACCCCAUUAAACACAUAUCCCAUUGAUGCAGACAUGAUAUUCUCCGAAUCCUUAACCUCGCUGACUUUUACCUUCCUAAUCCCACCAAGGUUUAACCCAGAUCUAGGAUCUUCUAGUGUAUGAGACAUAGAUAAACAGAAUGAAGAAUCAUUUGUAAAUAUAUCUUCAUUAAGCUUUCUCCCCAUGACAACUUUCUCACUGCUAACUGAUGGCAUGCUUCGAUCAUCAAAAUUCACAGCUCGAGCUGAUUCGGUGUCGAAUAACCGUUCAGCAAACUGCCCCGAGAUUGAAUGAAAACCAGAUGCAUUUCCCCAUGGAGACAGGUUUGAAUUCAAGAUUCCAGAAAAAAAGUUGGUAGUUGAAACUCCAACCGCCUGCUUCUUGUUAGGAAAUAUAUCUGUCUCGGAACCAUCCAUAAACCAUUGAUGAGAACGCUUGGGCUCAAUUCUAGAUGAAGUAUCAUACACCAUCUCACCAUCGUUUAAACACCCAGCUCCUUUCGUCAUCCAAAUGCCUUGAUUCUGGAAAGACUGUUACAUGUAACAAAUUCCUAAUCAGAGGCGUAGAAGAGAAUAACAACAACAGUUGAAUCUUUUUCAUUGACCUAGUAUCAAGAUUAACCGCAAGCCAUAAAUAUUUAUAACAUAAUUAAUGGACAACUUCAAUAAGGUGAACUUUGUUUUUGCACCUAUCAAAAGCUUGACUAGGCACACCAAGCAUGCACUUGAAGAAGGAUUGAAAUAACUUUUGUUCUCUAGUGCUAAUAUACAGCGCCUAAGGACGCACCUUGGUCUUUGACAACCUCAGCACUUCAGCACCAACACACACAACUUACCAAGUAGAAAAUUGUCAAACUGACAUUUUUCUUCACUCAUAUAUACAUACUUAUAUAUGGUUCAUCAGUGCAUCCCCACCUAAAUUACUCUAUUACAACUGUUUGGCAAUAAAAGACACAAUCAUCUAUAGUUCUUUUUUUUUUUUUACCAAAAAGCAUAAUUUUUCAGUUGAUACAGAAUUUUAACCUUCUUUAACUAUGUGAAACUACAUAAGGGACAAGGCAAUAAGCAAUUGCAGAACAAUUAACGAUAAAAAUUAAAACCACUGAAUCAAUCACAAAAGAUACACAUAAAACUGAAAAACAGCAUCGAAAGCAACCAUUAGACCCUUCUCCCACCACUUAAAGCACAUAAAAACAUACCAUUUUUCUAGCUUUAUUUCAAAGUUCUAUUUGGAUGAAUCCUCGCUUCCACUUUGCUGUAACAGUCCAACAAUUAAAACUCUAUCAUAUUGCAUUAAACAAGGAUCAAAUUUACAACUUUACCACUAAACAGCAAAGUUCUAUAACUCCUGGCUGAAGCAGAGACUGUAAAACUUCGUGAGAAUUGAAGCCUUUAAUCGCUAAAGUAAUUAUCUGCAAAAUUCAGGGAAUAAAUCACUUGAAAAACUCUGAGAACAAAUAAUAGUGACUCCAAGGCUGAGGUAUUGUAUCUUUCACUCGAAAUUAUGCAAAUCCAUUCCCUUAAACAUAUUUUAAAACAUAUAUAUUGUUGUAAUUGCUGUUAUCCUUUGUCUUCCUCUUUGCAGCCAAACACAAUCAAAAUUAACCAACAAGAUCAGGCAGCAGGGGAUGCAGCAAAUGCUCCAAAAUCAGGUUGCUGCGGUUGAGCUACGAUCGAUGAUGAGCUCUGAAGGGUAUAUUUUCUUCUCUAGUGAGCUCUUUGAAUUUGGGAAAACUGUAACUACAUUCUUCCAGUUUGUAAUUUCUUCUUAUCUAUUUUGCAUCUAUUACUCUUUCGGUCUGAAAUGUUAGAUCCCUGAUAUCCUGCGAAAUUAAUUAUUUUUGCAAGUUGCCUCUACCAUUUUGACAUUUGGAGUUGAAGCUAAGAACCGCUCGGUGCCAUCCAUUAAUUGGAGCAUAAUUAGAGAUGACAAUAGGACAGAUUUGGAACAAAGUCAUUUUGGAGUUUUUCGAGUUUGGUGUGUGGGCUAGGAUUUGGGGCCAGCUCGGUAUUUUCUUCGUAAUUUUCAAACUUUUAUAAAAGAUGUAAGCAUUCUAACAUGUUCUUGUUAGAGUUCAAUUGAGCUCAGGUUUAAAUCAUUUUUUUUUAUCAAAUUUCAGUUCAUGGGUUGAGACUUGAGAUGUGGCCAUGGUCAAUACCAAAAAAUUAAGUCUGAACUCAACUCCCGAUGAUUUUUUUAGUUCAU
rnacentral:lncRNA from 1 species